rfam:Bombyx mori DNA, contig: Bm_scaf80_contig32732, strain: p50T/Dazao, build 2, whole genome shotgun sequence.
UUAACUCACAUUUGUAUGGAGUUGGAACGUUUGCCUACGUUUGCCGCUAGGAGUGCUGUUCCAACUCCAUACAAAUUUGAGUUA